AACUUUCAACAACGGAUCUCUUGGCUCUCGCAUCGAUGAAGAACGCAGCGAAAUGCGAUAAGUAAUGUGAAUUGCAGAUUUCAGUGAAUCAUCGAAUUUUUGAACGCACCUUGCGCCCCUUGGUAUUCCGAGGGGCAUGCCUGUUUGAGUG
rnacentral:rRNA from 1 species